UGUAUGAUAUCGUUUUCUUUGUAGGCUUGGUUGGACCCAGAUAAUUUACCUUCAAGAAUGUCUUGUGUUUGUGAUAUAUGUGGAUAACCUUUACAAUUUCUACUACAGGUUUAUGCUCCAUUAGUUGAAAAAGACUCAACAUUUCAUCGAAAAUUAUUUGUAUUCAUGUGUCUGUCCAUGAAAUGUCUUCUCCGAGAUCAACAUGAACAAUGGAAGCGUCAUCCGGAUAAGCAAUCAAGGAGUGUUAAGGUUUUCCGUUGCCAAUUGCCUCAUGCUAAU